rnacentral:rRNA from 1 species
GACGAACGCUGGCGGCGUGCUUAACACAUGCAAGUCGAGCGGUAAGGCCCCUUCGGGGGUACACGAGCGGCGCACGGGUGCGUAACACGUGAGCAAUCUGCCCAUCACAUCGGGAUAACUCCGGGAAACCGAAGCUAAUACCGAAUACGACCACCUCCGGCAUCGGAUGGUGGUGGAAAGUUCCGGCGGUGAUGGAUGAGCUCGCGGCCUAUCAGCUUGUUGGUGGGGUAACGGCCCACCAAGGCUUCGACGGGUAGCCGGCCUGAGAGGGUGACCGGCCACACUGGGACUGAGACACGGCCCAGACUCCUACGGGAGGCAGCAGUGGGGAAUAUUGGACAAUGGGCGAAAGCCUGAUCCAGCAACGCCGCGUGAGGGAUGACGGCCUUCGGGUUGUAAACCUCUUUCAGCAGGGACGAAGCGCAAGUGACGGUACCUGCAGAAGAAGCACCGGCCAACUACGUG